CCUACGGGCGGCAGCAGUGGGGAAUCUUGCACAAUGGGGGAAACCCUGAUGCAGCGACGCCGCGUGAGUGAAGAAGUAUCUCGGUACGUAAAGCUCUAUCAGCAGGGAAGAAAAUGACGGUACCUGACUAAGAAGCCCCGGCUAACUACGUGCCAGCAGCCGCGGUAAUACGUAGGGGGCAAGCGUUAUCCGGAUUUACUGGGUGUAAAGGGAGCGUAGACGGCAGCAAAAGUCUGGAGUGAAAGCCCGGGGCUUAACCCCGGCACUGCUUUGGAAACUGUGCGGCUGGAGUGCAGGAGGGGUAAGCGGAAUUCCUAGUGUAGCAGUGAAAUGCGUAGAUAUUAGGAGGAACACCGGUGGCGAAGGCGGGUUACUGGACUGUAACUGACGUUGAGGCUCGAAAGCGUGGGGAGCAAACGGGAUUAGAUACCCUUGUAGUC
rnacentral:rRNA from 1 species